UACGAAGGGGGCUAGCGUUGUUCGGAAUCACUGGGCGUAAAGGGCGCGUAGGCGGCUGUUCAAGUCGGGGGCGAAGUCCCGUGGCUCAACCACGGAAUGGCCUUCGAUACUGGACGGCUCGAGACCGGAAGAGGUGAGUGGAACUGCGAGUGUAGAGGUGAAAUUCGUAGAUAUUCGCAAGAACACCAGUGGCGAAGGCGGCUCACUGGUCCGGUUCUGACGCUGAGGCGCGAAAGCGUGGGGAGCAAACAGG
rnacentral:rRNA from 1 species